CCCUUAGAUGUUCUGGGCUGCACGCGCGCUACACUGAUACUUUCAGCGAGUCCACCACCUUGCCUGGGAGGGUGGAGUAACCUCUGGAAAGUGCAUCGUGAUGGGGAUCGAUUAUUGUAAUUAUUAAUCUUCAACGAGGAAUUCCUAGUAAGCAUGUGUCAUCAGCCCGUGCUGAUUACGUCCCUGCCCUUUGUACACACCGCCCGUCGCACCUACCGAUUGGAUGGUCCGGUGAAGCCUCGGGAUUGUGGUUCUUGCCGCUUUAUUGUGGCGUGACCGCGAGAACUUGUCUAAACCUUAUCAUCUAGAGGAAGGUGAAGUCGUAACA
rnacentral:rRNA from 1 species